rnacentral:rRNA from 1 species
UCCUGGAGCGGCCGAUAUCUGAUUAGUUAGUUGGUGAGGUAAAGGCUCACCAAGGCGACGAUCAGUAGCUGGUCUGAGAGGACGACCAGCCACACUGGAACUGAGACACGGUCCAGACUCCUACGGGAGGCAGCAGUGGGGAAUUUUGGACAAUGGGCGAAAGCCUGAUCCAGCAAUGCCGCGUGUAGGAUGAAGGCCCUCGGGUUGUAAACUACUUUUGUACGGAACGAAAAGCUCUCUUCUAAUAAAGGAGAGUGAUGACGGUACCGUAAGAAUAAGCACCGGCUAACUACGUGCCAGCAGCCGCGGUAAUACGUAGGGUGCGAGCGUUAAUCGGAAUUACUGGGCGUAAAGCGCACGCAGGCGGUCUGUUAAGUCAGAUGUGAAAUCCCCGGGCUCAACCCGGGAACUGCAUUUGAAACUGGCAGGCUUGAGUCUCGUAGAGGGGGGUAGAAUUCCAGGUGUAGCGGUGAAAUGCGUAGAGAUCUGGAGGAAUACCGGUGGCGAAGGCGGCCCCCUGGACGAAGACUGAGCUCAGGUGCGAAAGCGUGGGGAGCAAACAGGAUUAGAUACCCUGGUAGUCCACGCCGUAAACGAUGUCGACUUGGAGGUUGUGCCCUUGAGGCGUGGCUUCCGGAGCUAACGCGUAAGUCGACCGCCUGG